AGUCAAGGUGCUUUCGUAACAGAAAGAGAAUAGGGAAUGCGGUGAAAAUCCGCAGCAGCGCCCACUACUGUAAUCCGGACGAGGUUUCAGAGGAUUAUAUCCGCCACUGACCGCUUGUAGGUUGGGAAGGUAUGAGACGGAGGAUGAUGGAAAGUCAGGAGACCUGCCUUGAUGGGA
rnacentral:ncRNA from 1 species